AGCUCCAAUAGCGUAUAUUAAUGUUGUUGCAGUUAAAAAGCUCGUAGUUGGACUUGUGGUUGGAUUGGUCGGCCCGACACAGUGUGUGGGUGCCUGACUGGUCUGUCCAUUAUUUGGUUUGAAUCUUUGUGGCAUUAAGUUGUCGUGGAGGGGAGAGCCAUCAUUUACUGUGAAAAAAUCAGAGUGUUCAAAGCAGGCUUAUGCCGUUGAAUAUAUUAGCAUGGAAUAAUGAGAUAGGACCUUGGUGCUAUUUUGUUGGUUUGUGCACCUUUGGUAAUGAUUAACAGGGACAGUUGGGGGUAUUCGUAUUCCAUUGUCAGAGGUGAAAUUCUUGGAUUUCUGGAAGACGAACUACUGCGAAAGCAUUUACCAAGGAUGUUUUCA
rnacentral:rRNA from 1 species